rnacentral:rRNA from 1 species
AACGAACGUUAGCGGCGCGCUUGACACAUGCAAGUCGCACGAGAAAGGGCUUCGGCCCCGGUAAAGUGGCGCACGGGUGAGUAACACGUGGAUAACCUACCCUCGAGCAGGGGAUAACAUCCCGAAAGGGGUGCUAAUACCGCAUAAGACCACGGCUUCGAAAGGAGCUGAGGUAAAAGCUGGCCUCUAUAUAUAAGCUAGCGCUUGAGGACGGGUCCGCGGCGCAUCAGGUAGUUGGCGGGGUAAUGGCCCACCAAGCCUAAGACGCGUAGCUGGUCUGAGAGGAUGAUCAGCCACACUGGAACUGAGACACGGUCCAGACUCCUACGGGAGGCAGCAGUGGGGAAUCUUGCGCAAUGGACGAAAGUCUGACGCAGCGACGCCGCGUGUGUGAUGAAGGCC